GAUGAACGCUGGCGGCGUGCCUAACACAUGCAAGUCGAACGAGGUAAAUAAGUUGAAGUUUUCGGAUGGAUUCUUAUUUACCGAGUGGCGGACGGGUGAGUAACGCGUGGGUAACCUGCCUCAUACAGGGGGAUAACGGUUAGAAAUGACUGCUAAUACCGCAUAAGCGCACAGUACCGCAUGGUACGGUGUGAAAAACUCCGGUGGUAUGAGAUGGACCCGCGUCUGAUUAGCUAGUUGGUGAGGUAACGGCCCACCAAGGCGACGAUCAGUAGCCGACCUGAGAGGGUGACCGGCCACAUUGGGACUGAGACACGGCCCAGACUCCUACGGGAGGCAGCAGUGGGGGAUAUUGCACAAUGGAGGAAACUCUGAUGCAGCGACGCCGCGUGAGUGAAGAAGUAUUUCGGUAUGUAAAGCUCUAUCAGCAGGGAAGAAAAUGACGGUACCAGACUAAGAAGCCCCGGCUAACUACGUGCCAGCAGCCGCGGUAAUACGUAGGGGGCAAGCGUUAUCCGGAUUUACUGGGUGUAAAGGGAGCGUAGACGGCGACGCAAGUCUGAAGUGAAAUACCCGGGCUCAACCUGGGAACUGCUUUGGAAACUGUGUUGCUAGAGUGCUGGAGAGGUAAGCGGAAUUCCUAGUGUAGCGGUGAAAUGCGUAGAUAUUAGGAAGAACACCAGUGGCGAAGGCGGCUUACUGGACAGUAACUGACGUUGAGGCUCGAAAGCGUGGGGAGCAAACAGG
rnacentral:rRNA from 1 species